UUGAAAUCUGGCUUCGGCCCGAGUUGUAAUUUGCAGAGGAUGCUUCUGGCGCGGUGCCUUCCGAGUUCCCUGGAACGGGACGCCACAGAGGGUGAGAGCCCCGUAUGGUCGGACACCAAGCCUGUGUGAAGCUCCUUCGACGAGUCGAGUAGUUUGGGAAUGCUGCUCUAAAUGGGAGGUAAAUCUCUUCUAAAGCUAAAUACCGGCCAGAGACCGAUAGCGCACAAGUAGAGUGAUCGAAAGAUGAAAAGCACCUUGAAAAGGGGGUUAAAUAGUACGUGAAAUUGUUGAAAGGGAAGCACUUAUGACCAGACUUGGGCCGGGCGGCUCAUCAGGGGUUCUCCCCUGUGCACUCCGCCCGGCACAGGCCAGCAUCGGUUCUCGUGGGGGGAUAAGACCGUCGGGAACGUAGCACCCUCCGGGGUGUGUUAUAGCCCGGCGGACGAUACCCUCGUGGGGACCGAGGUUCGCGCUCCGCAAGGAUGCUGGCGUAAUGGUCAUCAGUGACCCGUCUUGAAACACGGACCAAGGAGUCGUCCAUUAGAGCGAGCGUUUGGGUGUAAAACCCGCACGCGUAAUGAAAGUGAACGCAGGUGAGAGCUUCGGCGCAUCAUCGACCGAUCCUGAUGUUCUCGGAAGGAUUUGAGUAAGAGUUUUAACGGACGGACCCGAAAGACAGUGAACUAUGCUUGUAUAGGGUGAAGCCAGAGGAAACUCUGGUGGAGGCUCGCAGCGGUUCUGACGUGCAAAUCGAUCGUCAAAUAUGAGCAUGGGGGCGAAAGACUAAUCGAACUGUCUAGUAGCUGGUUACCGCCGAAGUUUCCCUCAGGAUAGCAGUGUUGAUCUUCAGUUUUAUGAGGUAAAGCGAAUGAUUAGGGACUCGGGGGCGCUAUAUUGCCUUCAUCCAUUCUCAAACUUUAAAUAUGUAAGAAGCCCUUGUUACUUAGUUGAACGUGGGCAUUCGAAUGUACCAACACUAGUGGGCCAUUUUUGGUAAGCAGAACUGGCGAUGCGGGAUGAACCGAACGCGGGGUUAAGGCGCCAGAGUGUACGCUCAUCAGACACCACAAAAGGCGUUAGUACAUCUUGACAGCAGGACGGUGGCCAUGGAAGUCGGAAUCCGCUAAGGACUGUGUAACAACUCACCUGCCGAAUGUACUAGCCCUGAAAAUGGAUGGCGCUCAAGCGUACCGCCCAUA
rnacentral:rRNA from 1 species